CCAAAAACAUCGCCUCUUGAUUAAAUAUAAGAGGUCCAGCCUGCCCAGUGACAAAAUUUAACGGCCGCGGUACCCUGACCGUGCGAAGGUAGCAUAAUCACUUGUUCUUUAAAUAGGGACUAGUAUCAACGGCAUCACGAGGGUUUUACUGUCUCCUUUCUCCAAUCAGUGAAACUGAUCUUCCCGUGAAGAAGCGGGAAUAAACCUAUAAGACGAGAAGACCCCAUGGAGCUUUAAAUUUCACAGCAACUCAGUAACAUAUUUCCUUAUAACUUAAAGAGUUAUGCAUGCCAAUUUUAGGUUGGGGUGACCGCGGAGUAUAAAAUAACCUCCACAUCGAAAAGAACUAAAUCUUUAUUUAAGAGCCACAACUCUAAAAAUUAGUACACUAACGAACAAUGACCCGAUAAUCGAUCAACGGACCAAGUUACCCUGGGGAUAACAGCGCAAUCUACUUCAAGAGCCCAUAUCGACAAGUAGGCUUACGACCUCGAUGUUGGAUCAGGGUAUCCCAGUGGUGCAGCCGCUACUAAUGGUUCGUUUGUUCAACGAUUAAAACCCUACGUGAUCU
rnacentral:rRNA from 1 species